AGGAUGAACGCUGGCGGUCUGCUUAACACAUGCAAGUCGAACGGGCGUAGCAAUACGUUAGUGGCGGACGGGUGAGUAACGCGUGAGAAUCUACCUUCAGGACGGAGACAACAGUUGGAAACGACUGCUAACCCCCGAUGUACUGAAAAGGCAAAUAUUUAUAGCCUGAAGAAGAGCUCGCGUCCGAUUAGCUAGUUGGAGAGGUAAAAGCUCACCAAGGCGACGAUCGGUAGCUGGUCUGAGAGGACGAUCAGCCACACUGGGACUGAGACACGGCCCAGACUCCUACGGGAGGCAGCAGUGGGGAAUUUUCCGCAAUGGGCGAAAGCCUGACGGAGCAAGACCGCGUGGGGGAAGAAGGCUCGUUGGGUUGUAAACCCCUUUUCUCUGGGAAGAAGUUGUGAAAGCAGCCUGACGGUACCAGAGGAUCAGCAUCGGCUAACUCCGUGCCAGCAGCCGC
rnacentral:rRNA from 1 species